UAUAUAUAUAUAUAUAUAUAUAGCAGAUGUGCCACUACAUUCUUAUCCAGUUGCAAUUCUAUGUUUCAACCGCUUCUACAAUCCUGUAAUAAUUAUUCACGAGGUUAAUGAAUAUUCAUGAAGUGGGCGGUCCAUGAAGUCACGUGAUUCUGUCGCGCUCGUGAACCGCGGCCAGGGAAGUUUUUUUCCGUUACUUCUACUUUUAUAAUGUGAAGUUUAACUUAGAAUAACGCUUUUCGAUCUCUACAGCCGAGAGGUGGUCUACGUCCAUAGAGAGAUUGUGGAGUACAAAGAUGUCCAAGCCUGCUUCUCGUAGCUCUCAGCUGCUGCUGUCGGAUCAGAAGUGUGCUAAAUGUCUGUUGGAGACGUAUGUCAAGCGGAGCCUCAGCCUGAAUGAAGGAUGCAGGAAACAUCAGCUAAAUAAACACAAAUGGCUUAAACCAGACAGGCAGUCCAGACGGGCGUCCAGUGACACCUCCACCCAGCGUUUGAGAGUAGAGAGGCUCCUGAAGACCAGCGAGUGCCCUGAAUGCACAACACCAGAACUUGUCACUAGGAGAAAGAGCACCAAAGCACCAAACAGAACCAAAUCAUUCUUCAGAGGCUUUCUCCACCUCUUCUCUAAGAAGAAGACCGAGCCCAAAGUGAAAGAUGAGCGAGUUACAGAAACAGACUCUGGACAACAUAUGAUAGAACGGGGGCUUCGCUCUUCUCAGAAAGGCUCAUCUGGCCUCAGUGUGAGGAAAAAACACUCUCUGAGAAGGAUCUUCUUUAGCAAUCAAAAUGAUGAGAAAAGAGAGUCCCUGCAAAAGGACUCCUCUCGUGUUCGUGGAGGCGUGGAGGGGCUUUCAGACGUGAGCGUGGACUCUGAUAAUACAUACUUUGAGAAGGUGUCAGAAGAACUGGAGUUGAUUGUGAAGGAGAUUCAGUUCAGUCCAAAAGAAGAUGCUCCGCUUCUCUCUUCUGCUUCUGCAAGAGACUGCAGCUCUUCAGGUGAUGACACUACAGAGAGGAUUACCAGCCUGCUGAAGCAACAUGGGGAUAUUAUUGAUCAGAAAAUAAGCAGGAACAAGAGUGUCCAAGACUUCCUCCAGAAACUGUCUUACAGCUCCUUCCAGCAGCUGGCUGAUCGCUACAUAGCGCAGAUCCCCAGUCCUCUUCCCCAGACCACAGACGCCUCCCCUGAGCUGGUCAGACUCGCCUUCACCCUGGACUUUACCGCCAAAGUGGCUGGAUUGUGCAGCCAGACAGUCGGUCGGAUCAUGGGGUUUGGUAACCAGUACCUUCAGGAUUCCUUCACACAAAUGUGUGCAGCCCACAGACAGGUGCCAGAAGAUUUGGAAGAACAGAGUACAAGUGAUACAGACUGACUGUGAAGUCAAAAACGACAAAAAAAAAAAAAGAUAAAAAGUGCAAUAGAGUUAACUCAGGGGGGGGGGAAACUGAUGUAUUUGUAGCUGCUUUUGUGAAUAAGCCAAAUUUAGUAGUUUGUUUAUACUAUAAGUUUACAGUGACUGACUGUGAAAAUUACAACAGUUGAACCUGAUACUAAAACUGUGAAUAAUAUUUGUUUUUUUUACACCAAAUUAGCAUAUUCUACUGAUUUCUGAAUGAUAAUGUGACAUUGAAGACUGAGUAAUGACUGCUUAUUUUAAAUUAUAAUUGAGCUAUUUUAAAAUGUAUUAAAAUAGAAAAAAGUUCUGUUAAAUUGUAAUAACAUUUCAAAAUAUUGCUGUUUUUACUGUAUUGUUAAUUAAAUAAAUGCAGCCUUGGUAAAUAUAAGAGACUUCUUAUAAAAACAUUUUUUAAAAAUCAUACCGGCCCCAAACUUCUGAUCCGUAGUGUACAUUGGAGAUAUUUUGGAGAUAAAUGUGUGACAUUGAGGCUAAACCAUGGAAAACUGAACGUUUAUUGGGGCUGUGUGGAACCUCAUUUCAGAAAUGAUAUUUACGCUAAACAACAUUACACAUGGGUAUAAAAUGUAAGAUAUGGAUCACAACAAUCAUGUGUUAUUUGGCUAGAUCAGGUUGAGCAUCUCCUUGCAUAUAUGGCAUUUCUAAAAGGUAAUUUGUCAUGUUUUUUUAACUGAGGAGAUGGCAUCAGUAUGCUGCAGAUGCAUCAUACGACUGCAUGAUUGAGGCCCAUGUUUCAAUAUACUCUGUUGUGCCAUUGUGCUACAAUCAUUUAGUAAAACCACAUUUGGUUUCUUUUGCAGAGUUUAUGUCUUUAUAAAUGGUUGCCAUGAAAUAAUGGCAGCAUUUGUUAGUGGAUGUGAAUGGCAGCAGUGGCGUCUGGAAUGGUAUUAGCCACCCUUGACAUUUCAGUGCAUCCUGUAUAAAGUUGCACAUUCUGCUUUGAGCACCACUGCUAAUCGAUCUCAACUGAUUCCUGGAGCUUGAAGUCAGAGCUUGAUGAAAGUCCUGUGAUCCAACCACCUAAUUAACCUAACAGCUGUGGCCAUACAACACAGUGAAAACAGGAGCGUGUAGAGCUUUGGGAGGGUCUGUGCCAUGGAGGGACUCGGUGGGAGAACAGCAAAGACGCGCCCAUUCAGAUUCGAGGAGGUCAUCGUGUGUCUCUCAGACAGCUCUCUGCGUCUGUGCUGCUCAGGGUGAACUUGCACAAGUAUAAAACUGAUCAGACUCAGCAUCCUUUGCAAAAGACAGAAGACGGUUAUGAUUUUUUUUCCACAAUGGUAGCAUUAACAAUUAACAGCAGAAAACCUUUUUUAUUUUUAUUGUGUGCUUACAUAUCUCCAAAGGCUUUUCUUGUAGAGGACAGUACAAUUUUGAGUGUAAAAAUCAUGAAGAUCUUAAUCCCAUGCCAGAGCCAGUAUGCCACAGUCAUAGCAUUAGUGAUCCGUUUCUGAUAUCUGCAAAACCACAAAUCACAAGUGCUCAUGAGCAGCAUAAGAAUGUUGCCUUUUAAAAUAAAACCUUGUAGGUCAGGGGUGUCCAAAGUCCAGCACGUGGGCCAAUU
ensembl:lncRNA